GUCGGNAACGAGUGGCGGACGGGUGAGUAACACGUAGGUAACCUGCCCAGAAGCGGGGGACAACAUUUGGAAACAGAUGCUAAUACCGCAUAACAGCGUUGUUCGCAUGAACAACGCUUAAAAGAUGGCUUCUCGCUAUCACUUCUGGAUGGACCUGCGGUGCAUUAGCUUGUUGGUGGGGUAACGGCCUACCAAGGCGAUGAUGCAUAGCCGAGUUGAGAGACUGAUCGGCCACAAUGGGACUGAGACACGGCCCAUACUCCUACGGGAGGCAGCAGUAGGGAAUCUUCCACAAUGGGCGCAAGCCUGAUGGAGCAACACCGCGUGAGUGAAGAAGGGUUUCGGCUCGUAAAGCUCUGUUGUUAAAGAAGAACACGUAUGAGAGUAACUGUUCAUACGUUGACGGUAUUUAACCAGAAAGUCACGGCUAACUACGUGCCAGCAGCCGCGGUAAUACGUAGGUGGCAAGCGUUAUCCGGAUUUAUUGGGCGUAAAGAGAGUGCAGGCGGUUUUCUAAGUCUGAUGUGAAAGCCUUCGGCUUAACCGGAGAAGUGCAUCGGAAACUGGAUAACUUGAGUGCAGAAGAGGGUAGUGGAACUCCAUGUGUAGCGGUGGAAUGCGUAGAUAUAUGGAAGAACACCAGUGGCGAAGGCGGCUACCUGGUCUGCAACUGACGCUGAGACUCGAAAGCAUGGGUAGCGAACAGGAUUAGAUACCCUGGUAGUCCAUGCCGUAAACGAUGAGUGCUAGGUGUUGGAGGGUUUCCGCCCUUCAGUGCCGGAGCUAACGCAUUAAGCACUCCGCCUGGGGAGUACGACCGCAAGGUUGAAACUCAAAGGAAUUGACGGGGGCCCGCACAAGCGGUGGAGCAUGUGGUUUAAUUCGAAGCUACGCGAAGAACCUUACCAGGUCUUGACAUCUUGCGCCAACCCUAGAGAUAGGGCGUUUCCUUCGGGAACGCAAUGACAGGUGGUGCAUGGUCGUCGUCAGCUCGUGUCGUGAGAUGUUGGGUUAAGUCCCGCAACGAGCGCAACCCUUGUUACUAGUUGCCAGCAUUAAGUUGGGCACUCUAGUGAGACUGCCGGUGACAAACCGGAGGAAGGUGGGGACGACGUCAGAUCAUCAUGCCCCUUAUGACCUGGGCUACACACGUGCUACAAUGGACGGUACAACGAGUCGCGAACUCGCGAGGGCAAGCAAAUCUCUUAAAACCGUUCUCAGUUCGGACUGCAGGCUGCAACUCGCCUGCACGAAGUCGGAAUCGCUAGUAAUCGCGGAUCAGCAUGCCGCGGUGAAUACGUUCCCGGGCCUUGUACACACCGCC
rnacentral:rRNA from 1 species